UCAGUGAUGAACACCAAUGAUGGAUCACAGGUGUCGAAGACAGGACCUGUGAGAAGUGCCAUUUGAGUUAAAAAUGACUCUUCACAACAUGUAAAAUUAAGUACACAGUGCAAAUCCAGAGCCACUGUAAUCAUGACUAGCUGCCUUUUCAGAAUUCAUUGAAACCGGGGCAUGAAGGCAGAAAUGACUGACAGCAGGAAAACAAGUGUUUGCCAACAGCCCUUACACCACCGAACC